rnacentral:tRNA from 1 species
UUUAAAAUAGUAGAUAAUAAUAUAUUGAAUUUAAGCUUCAAAGAUGAGGUUUUCUCUUUUAAAA